CCUACGGGAGGCAGCAGUGGGGAAUCUUGCGCAAUGGGCGAAAGCCUGACGCAGCAACGCCGCGUGCGGGAAGAAGGCUUUCGGGCUGUAAACCGCUUUCAGCAGGAACGAAAAUGACGGUACCUGCAGAAGAAGGAGCGGCCAACUAUGUGCCAGCAGCCGCGGUGAUACAUAGGCUUCAAGCGUUGUCCGGGUUUAUUGGGCGUAAAGAGUUCGUAGGCGGUCGAGUAAGUCGGGUGUGAAAAUUCUGGGCUCAACCCAGAGACGCCACCCGAUACUGCUUGACUUGAGUUCGAUAGGGGAGUGGGGAAUUCCUAGUGUAGCGGUGAAAUGCGCAGAUAUUAGGAGGAACACCGGUGGCGAAGGCGCCACUCUGGAUCGAUACUGACGCUGAGGAACGAAAGCAUGGGUAGCAAACAGGAUUAGAUACCCUGGUAGUCCAUGCCGUAAACGGUGGGCACUAGGUGUGGGUUUCUAUUAACGAAAUCCGCGCCGUCGCUAACGCAUUAAGUGCCCCGCCUGGGGAUACGGUCGCAAGACUAAAACUUAAAGGAAUUGACGG
rnacentral:rRNA from 1 species